GAUCAAAGGCCACUCGGCAUGUCUAAGUAUAAGCAAUUUAUACAGUKAAACUGCGAAUGGCUCAUUAAAUCAGUUAUCGUUUAUUUGAUAGUUCCUUUACUACAUGGAAUACCUGUGGUAAUUCUAGAGCUAAUACAUGCUUAAAAUCCCGACUGUUAUGGAAGGGAUGUAUUUAUUAGAUAAAAAAUCAAUGUCUUCGGACUUUUUGAUGAUUCAUAAUAACCUUUCGAAUCGCAUGGCCUUGUGCUGGCGAUGGUUCAUUCAAAUUUCUGCCCUAUCAACUUUCGAUGGUAGGAUAGUGGCCUACCAUGGUUUCAACGGGUAACGGGGAAUAAGGGUUCGAUUCCGGAGAGGGAGCCUGAGAAACGGCUACCACAUCCAAGGAAGGCAGCAGGCGCGCAAAUUACCCAAUCCUAAUUCAGGGAGGUAGUGACAAUAAAUAACGAUACAGGGCCAUCGGUCUUGUAAUUGGAAUGAGUACAAUGUAAAUACCUUAACGAGGAACAAUUGGAGGGCAAGUCUGGUGCCAGCAGCCGCGGUAAUUCCAGCUCCAAUAGCGUAUAUUAAAGUUGUUGCAGUUAAAAAGCUCGUAGUUGAACUUUGGGUUUGGUUGACCGGUCCGAUUUUUUUCGUGUACUGGCUUCGACUGAAUCUUUCCUUCUGGCUAACUAAUGGGGUUUACUCUAUUAGCGAACCAGGACUUUUACUUUGAAAAAAUUAGAGUGUUCAAAGCAGGCGAUAGCUCGAAUAUAUUAGCGUGGAAUAAUAGAAUAGGACGUUUGGUUCUAUUUUGUUGGUUUCUAGGACCAUCGUAAUGAUUAAUAGGGACGGUCGGGGGGUUCAGUAUUCAAUUGUCAGAGGUGAAAUUCUUGGAUUUAUUGAAGACUAACUACUGCGAAAGCAUUUGCCAAGGACGUUUUCAUUAAUCAAGAACGAAAGUUAGGGGAUCGAAGAGAUCAGAACCGUCGAGGCUUACA
rnacentral:rRNA from 1 species